rnacentral:rRNA from 1 species
CUGAGUACGGCGGAACACGUGAAAUUCCGUCGGAAUCCGGGAGGACCAUCUCCCAAGGCUAAAUACUCCCUAGUGACCGAUAGUGAACCAGUACCGUGAGGGAAAGGUGAAAAGCACCCCGGAAGGGGAGUGAAACAGUUCCUGAAACCGUGUGCCUACAAGUAGUUAGAGCCCGUUAAUGGGUGAUAGCGUGCCUUUUGUAGAAUGAACCGGCGAGUUACGAUUUGUUGCAAGGUUAAGCGGAAAAAGCGGAGCCGUAGCGAAAGCGAGUCUGAAUAGGGCGCAUAAGUAACAGGUCGUAGACCCGAAACCAGGUGAUCUACCCAUGUCCAGGAUGAAGGUAAGGUAAUACUUACUGGAGGUCCGAACCCACGCACGUUGAAAAGUGCGGGGAUGAGGUGUGGGUAGCGGAGAAAUUCCAAUCGAACUUGGAGAUAGCUGGUUCUCUCCGAAAUAGCUUUAGGGCUAGCCUCGAGGUAAAGAGUCAUGGAGGUAGAGCACUGUUUGGACUAGGGGCCCUUCUCGGGUUACCGAAUUCAGAUAAACUCCGAAUGCCAUGUACUUAUACUCGGGAGUCAGACUGCGAGUGAUAAGAUCCGUAGUCGAAAGGGAAACAGCCCAGACCACCAGUUAAGGUCCCCAAAUAUAUGUUAAGUGGAAAAGGAUGUGGGGUUGCUUAGACAACCAGGAUGUUGGCUUAGAAGCAGCCACCAUUGAAAGAGUGCGUAAUAGCUCACUGGUCGAGUGACCCCGCGCCGAAAAUGUACCGGGGCUAAACAUAUUACCGAAACUGUGGAUGAACCUCUUUAGAGGUUCGUGGUAGGAGAGCGUUCUAAGGGCGGUGAAGUCAGACCGGAAGGACUGGUGGAGCGCUUAGAAGUGAGAAUGCCGGUAUGAGUAGCGAAAGAAGGGUGAGAAUCCCUUCCACCGAAUAUCUAAGGUUUCCUGAGGAAGGCUCGUCCGCUCAGGGUUAGUCGGGACCUAAGCCGAGGCCGAUAGGCGUAGGCGAUGGACAACAGGUAGAGAUUCCUGUACCAGUGCUAAUUGUUUAACCGAUGGGGUGACACAGAAGGAUAGGGAAUCGCACGAAUGGAAAUGUGCGUCCAAGCAGUGAGUGUGAGAAGUAGGCAAAUCCGCUUCUCGCGAAGCAUGAGCUGUGAUGGGGAAGGAAAUUAAGUACGGAAGUUCCUGAUUUCACGCUGUCAAGAAAAGCCUCUAGGAAGAGUAGUACUGCCCGUACCGCAAACCGACACAGGUAGAUGAGGAGAGAAUCCUAAGGUGAGCGAGAGAACUCUCGUUAAGGAACUCGGCAAAAUGACCCCGUAACUUCGGGAGAAGGGGUGCUCUAUUAGGGUGCAAGCCCGAGAGAGCCGCAGUGAAUAGGCCCAGGCGACUGUUUAGCAAAAACACAGGUCUCUGCAAAACCGUAAGGUGACGUAUAGGGGCUGACGCCUGCCCGGUGCUGGAAGGUUAAGAGGAGUGCUUAGCUUCGGCGAAGGUACGAAUUGAAGCCCCAGUAAACGGCGGCCGUAACUAUAACGGUCCUAAGGUAGCGAAAUUCCUUGUCGGGUAAGUUCCGACCCGCACGAAAGGCGCAACGAUCUGGGCACUGUCUCAACGAGAGACUCGGUGAAAUUAUAGUACCUGUGAAGAUGCAGGUUACCCGCGACAGGACGGAAAGACCCCGUGGAGCUUUACUGCAACCUGAUAUGGAAUGUUUGUACCGCUUGUACAGG